UACGUGACCAUCCAGUCAUCCACCCUCCACGUGCAAUUGGAGCCCUAAUCCAUCACCUGCUACGAUAAGUUCAACUUCAUCGCUUAUCCAUUUUUGAGAAAAUUUUGAUAAUAUGCAAUAUCCACUGUUCAUCAACAUCGGUUGAAGCUCGUCUUGGUUUGACCUGUGCAAAGUGUUGCAGCUGCUCAAACUUCAAAACUGCUUUAAGACCACCCGUAGGGGGGGGGGGGGGUUUGCAUUUUUCUCAAAAAAACGGCCAAACAGGCCUUGGGACCGCCCCCGGGAGCAUUUUUCUUGAAAAAAUGGGUGGGGCGUCCUAUUUUAAACGCCUGCACUUGAUUUUUUGGCCAAUAAGACCGCUGCCAACACCUGCCCUUGAUGUUUUGGCCAAUAGUUUUAAUUUGAAAAAAAAAUAAUAAUUGGGUAUUGAUUGGUUGGGGCAUUAUGGGGCAUUAUACCACUAGAACCAUUUUAAGAUAAUGCCCCAUAAUGCCCACAUGCUGACUGGACCACCACAUGGCACAAAACGACAAAGGGUAGGGACAUUAUCUUCCCCUCCCACUACACAUGUUCUUAGUUCAAUACUCAUUUAAUUUAAUGACUGAAUCCAACUGUACCAUAUGAGGCAGUGCGUACAACCUUUUUUUAUGAUUUUUAUAUUAUGUUACUAUGGUUGACUUUUGACUUUUUUGACCCUGGUUUCCUGUUUAUCUAAGUUAUUAUCAACAUGGUCUUGUAUGCUUGCAGGGUGUGCCAAGUUACUUUGGUAGCUGCUGUUUUAAAUUUCAAGGUUUGUGAUGUGACUAAGUGAUGCAGAUGUGAUUUGUUUUGUCCUGAGGGUUCGAACCUUAGUAACAUCGCCACGAGAAUACUGUAUUGGUAACAAGAUCAUUUGGUACAUGUACAUUAUUAUCACUCUUUGCGUAUCGUUUUAUGAAAGCCUAACAAUUUUUAUUAGCAACAAAAACCCUGGGUAGCCGGGAUCACCCAGCACACCUGCCUAGAGGAAACCCACAAUCUCCAAAAACUACAACAGUACAACUACAAACAUCUAGUUGGUUUUGCUACUGUUUCAUUGAUGGACAAGAGAGUCGAAGCCAUGUGAGAGUUCGAACCCACCACCAGCCAACUGUUGAAACUCCCGCUCGCUAUUGUCCCUUUUGUGCCUGAAGAUGUUGUUGUCUUUGUUGUUGGUGCCCUCUCCGGUGCUACUGCCAAAAUAAUUAUUGCCCAUCUUGACCGGAUUAAACUCACCUUGCAGGGAUUAUGCUUUUGCAAUGUUAUAAGAGGUUGGUUGUUGUUAUGGCUGGUGAGUUAAAUAUGUUGGGGGAGGGGUAUGAUUAUUGGCAUGAAGUUGCUGCUUAGAAUGAAUAUUUAAGCAUGGGUUCGGUUUGGCUUGGUUUGGUUUUAGUUUCCAACGGUUCAGUUUCGGAAUCAACCCGUAAACACCCCUAGUGGGUAUGGUUAGUUGUAUUUUGUUAUAGGUUGGAUGUGCUAAAAGGUUGCUGAUUGGGGCUACUAUGGGGGAAUAGAGGUCAAGACUACUAGGAAGUUUGAAGAGAAGAUUUAUAUCUUAUAAGUUUGGUUAAUUUUUUUUAUUAUUGUUUGUUUCUCUGUUUGGGUGCUUUUAAGAGGUUAAUGAUUCCAGUUCUACCCCUCUUGUAAGGUAAAAAGAAUGUAGCAUAUCGUCCAAUUUUUUAUGAAUGGGUCGUUUGGGUUGUA